GACGAACGCUGGCGGCGUGCUUAACACAUGCAAGUCGAACGAAGAGCGAUGGAAGCUUGCUUCUAUCAAUCUUAGUGGCGCACGGGUGAGUAACGCGUAAUCAACCUGCCCUUCAGAGGGGGACAACAGUUGGAAACGACUGCUAAUACCGCAUACGAUCUAAUCUCGGCAUCGAGGAAAGAUGAAAGGUGGCCUCUAUUUAUAAGCUAUCACUGAAGGAGGGGAUUGCGUCUGAUUAGCUAGUUGGAGGGGUAACGGCCCACCAAGGCGAUGAUCAGUAGCCGGUCUGAGAGGAUGAACGGCCACAUUGGGACUGAGACACGGCCCAGACUCCUACGGGAGGCAGCAGUGGGGAAUCUUCCGCAAUGGACGAAAGUCUGACGGAGCAACGCCGCGUGAGUGAUGACGGCCUUCGGGUUGUAAAGCUCGGUUAAUCGGGACGAAAGGCCUUCUUGCGAACAGUUAGAAGGAUUGACGGUACCGGAAUAGAAAGCCACGGCUAACUACGUG
rnacentral:rRNA from 1 species